AAUGCAGUCGACGCUUCUUUUUCACCGGAGCUUGCUCCACCGGAAAAAGAGGAGUGGCGAACGGGUGAGUAACACGUGGGUAACCUGCCCAUCAGAAGGGGAUAACACUUGGAAACAGGUGCUAAUACCGUAUAACAAUCGAAACCGCAUGGUUUUGAUUUGAAAGGCGCUUUCGGGUGUCGCUGAUGGAUGGACCCGCGGUGCAUUAGCUAGUUGGUGAGGUAACGGCUCACCAAGGCGACGAUGCAUAGCCGACCUGAGAGGGUGAUCGGCCACAUUGGGACUGAGACACGGCCCAAACUCCUACGGGAGGCAGCAGUAGGGAAUCUUCGGCAAUGGACGAAAGUCUGACCGAGCAACGCCGCGUGAGUGAAGAAGGUUUUCGGAUCGUAAAACUCUGUUGUUAGAGAAGAACAAGGAUGAGAGUAACUGUUCAUCCCUUGACGGUAUCUAACCAGAAAGCCACGGCUAACUACGUGCCAGCAGCCGCGGUAAUACGUAGGUGGCAAGCGUUGUCCGGAUUUAUUGGGCGUAAAGCGAGCGCAGGCGGUUUCUUAAGUCUGAUGUGAAAGCCCCCGGCUCAACCGGGGAGGGUCAUUGGAAACUGGGAGACUUGAGUGCAGAAGAGGAGAGUGGAAUUCCAUGUGUAGCGGUGAAAUGCGUAGAUAUAUGGAGGAACACCAGUGGCGAAGGCGGCUCUCUGGUCUGUAACUGACGCUGAGGCUCGAAAGCGUGGGGAGCAAACAGGAUUAGAUACCCUGGUAGUCCACGCCGUAAACGAUGAGUGCUAAGUGUUGGAGGGUUUCCGCCCUUCAGUGCUGCAGCUAACGCAUUAAGCACUCCGCCUGGGGAGUACGACCGCAAGGUUGAAACUCAAAGGAAUUGA
rnacentral:rRNA from 1 species